rnacentral:rRNA from 1 species
UACGAACUGUGCGACCGUUAUUCGGAAUCACUGGGCUUACAGGGUGCGUAGGCGGCUCAACAAGUCGGGUGUGAAAGCCUUGAGCUCAACUCAAGAAAUGCACUCGGUACUGGGUGACUAGAGGACCGGAGAGGAUAGUGGAAUUCCCAGUGUAGUGGUGAAAUACGUAGAGAUUGGGAAGAACACCAGUGGCGAAGGCGGCUAUCUGGACGGUUUCUGACGCUAAGACGCGAAAGCGUGGGGAGCAAACAGG